AGUGAACGCUGGCGGUAUGCCUAACACAUGCAAGUCGAACGGCAGCACAGUAAGAGCUUGCUCUUACGGGUGGCGAGUGGCGGACGGGUGAGGAAUACAUCGGAAUCUACUUUUUCGUGGGGGAUAACGUAGGGAAACUUACGCUAAUACCGCAUACGACCUACGGGUGAAAUCAGGGGAUCUUCGGACCUUGCGCGAUUGAAUGAGCCGAUGUCGGAUUAGCUAGUUGGCGGGGUAAAGGCCCACCAAGGCGACGAUCCGUAGCUGGUCUGAGAGGAUGAUCAGCCACACUGGAACUGAGACACGGUCCAGACUCCUACGGGAGGCAGCAGUGGGGAAUAUUGGACAAUGGGCGCAAGCCUGAUCCAGCCAUACCGCGUGGGUGAAGAAGGCCUUCGGGUUGUAAAGCCCUUUUGUUGGGAAAGAACAGCAGCAGGUUAAUACCCCGCUGUUCUGACGGUACCCAAAGAAUAAGCACCGGCUAACUUCGUG
rnacentral:rRNA from 1 species